AAUUGGUGAAGCCUCUCAAGGCAAUCCAGGGAGGGGAAAGUCUGGGGGGGGGAACAGGCAGUGUGCCAGACAUUGAAUUUCUGGCUGGUGGCAGCGUACCAGAUCUAAGCUAGUAAUUAAGCUUAGAAGUGUUCAUGCAGGUCUCCACAUUUGCACUCUAAAGUUCAAAGUGGGGAAAGAAACCUUGACAGUGUGCCAUGGAGAGGAAAAGAAACCUCAACCUUCUCCCCUCAGCCUCAGCUUCUCCCACCCACCAAUCACUUAUCAACAUAACCAGCUUGAAGCAGCAACUGUGCUGCUGGCAGCUUGCCAAAGCAAAUGCAAAGGUUUUUGCACGUACAAAGAGCUUUCAACCCUAGGGUCACAUCAUGUUAUACAGCCCCAUUUUACAGUUGGGGAAACUGAGGCAGAAGCUGAGUGCAUUGACUGUCUUUUUACUUCAUAUUUAUACAGCACCUAGCGCAAUAGGGUCCUAAAUCCCUGCUUGGAGCCCUCAAGCAUUACAGUACUACAAAUAAAUAGUAAUUAAUGGCUUGUCCAUGUCAAACAAAAAGGCUGAAACAGGGCCAAGCCUAGAACUCAGAUCUCCUGAGGCCAGGGCAGGAUUAAGGUAUAAAAUAACUAAGCUACAGUUAAGAGUCUUGCAAUAUGAGGGGCCUCUAAAAAAGAAAAAAACUGACUCCAUUUCAGAUUUUAUCAAAAUCAGUUGAUAAAUAAAGCAGAUAUGGGAAAAAGAAGAUUCACUCUAAAUACAUUUUCAUUCAAAUAUGACAAAAAUAUACACAUCAUUAUUGACAUGCGAGAGGCCAGGUCUGAGGAAAAAAAAAAAGAUAAAAGCACUUGUAAAAUUAGUAUUUCUAUGAGUAAGUCUGCUAUCAGUCUCCUAAGGCAGCAUUUUAUUGGCCAGUUGCUACUGGUAAAAUUCUGACUGUGCCUUCAUAAUUUAUGAAAAUAAAUAAUCUCACUGCUGAUAAAAUCUGGAAAAAUGUGAGAUUGGAGUUGGCAGUGUCGUGAAGCAAUCCUGCCAAGCUCAUACUCAUGUUAGCGUGUUCUUUCUUCUUUUGAUCUGUACAUACAUACAACUGUGUAUUUUAGUGUGCAUGCUUCAUGUGCUAGCCAUGCUUCACAUGAUUGAGUUUGCAGAUGAUCGUCUUAUGGACUUGGGUCGAGUGGAUCUUGAGGAGGAUAAAUUUGUGUUGGCUUCCCUCCGUCAGUUUUAGGAAUCUUCACAGUAAAUAUCAAAGAAUGCUGACCAAAGAAUACACAGAGGAUUUUGAGAGAAGUGAAGGAAGAUAUACAUAUAUAUCAACACAUUUUGUACUUGCUUGUUGUCCCUGUGUGUGUCCAAGGUGUUUACUCGAGAUUGAUUAGUGGUCCUUGCGGAGACAGAGGAUAGAGAAGUGAAUGUGAAGAGAGAUGUCUACCUAGAAAAAAGACUGGGAUUUUCUGCUUGGCAGGUUUGGAGCAUGCAAGACAAUAUUUUAUUAUAGGUAGUAUGCGAUGUAAAAAUUCUUAUAUAGACUUAUAAAUCACACAUCAUAUGCAUAAUACAUUGUAUUUUUAUAGUAUGGCAAAAGAAAAAUCCCAACAAUUCAUUGUUUCGUAGCAAAAAUUAAAUUGGAAUGAAUGUUUGUAAAUAUAUUUUAUAUAUAGCCUGGAUAAACUUUGUAUUACCCUAACAAAAUUAAUCAAAUAUUUUUUCAUUUAUUCAUAUUAAAAGGAUAAUUUUCCUUAUUCAUGGUGUAAACAAAAUGAUAUAUCCUCUUGUUUUCCUGUGAGAACAGAGACAAAAUAGCACUAACUUUCACAGAAAUAUCCUGGUUUCAGUGGUAGCUGGGUUAGCUGGUAUCAGUAAAAACAAACGAGGAGUCCUUGUGGCACCUUAGAGACCAACAAGUAUCCUGGUAAAACAACACAGGCUUUUGGCAUAUAAUUUGUUGUGGUACAGAUAUAUAAAUCUCUAUUUAUAAUUUUUUUUUACUGGUUUCAAUAAAAACUUUCUGCUACUAAUUUUAGUACCAAUAUUAGGUAAUUCAGCAUAACCCUUCAUAAAAACAAAAAUCAAUUUAUUGGAAAAAUACAACCCAUAUACAAUUUUCGAUGGUUUGCUUAUUACCUGGGUGUAAUUCAUAUCAAUAUAACUAAUAGUUGAGCUUUAAGCUUGUGGGUUAUCCACAUCCUAUAUCCUCUAAGAGUCUCAUUGCGUAUUCGGACCAGGAAUGCCACAAUUUAGAUGCCCCAUCAUAGAAGAAAAAUUUUCUGAGAACUCUUCUAGUAAAUUGUAUUAUUUACUGUAUUGUUUACUUCUACUUUACUUAUGUCCACAAUUAGUUCAAAGAAUUUGUCUAAAAUUUCUGUUGUGAUGUCAACAUUAGAGAGGACUGCUGAAAAUGAUCAUUCCAUUUUUACAACUUUGCCUUUGUAUAUAUGCAAAUAUAAAGCUUUUGUGUUUAUAUAUUCAAUGUCCUUCCUGUGAAAAUAAUAAAAAUUCUUUUUUUUAAUGUUAUGGGGCCUCUUACACAUGACACAGUUUAGGGCCUCAGAAUGUUAUAAUCUGGCCCUGCCUGAGGUCCAGCAAAGCAGCUGUCUUGUAACAAUCAUGGUACUUUAAAGUGGUUGAGUGGUUGUUUCUUUUAAUUAGAUUUUUAAAAAUUGCUUCCUUUGCUACUAUAAUUAAACUGAGGGCUGAUUAUUAAUUUUAAAUUCAUACAUCUCUGUGUCUUCCUGUUUAUUAUAGCAGGUACAGAAUUCUUGGACUUUUUGAUGUCCUGAUUGUGUAUUAACCUCACUGCUGGGAAAUAGCAAACAAAGGAUAAGCCAUAUUGUGCGAGGGAGGGGGUAGAUGCCAGCACUCCCAAAUUCUAAUCUCAUUUAUGCUAAUGAUUUACUGUGUGAUUGAAGACAAGUCACCAACUGUUCCGGACCCAGUGCAGCCCUCAUAAGCAGGUAGAAUCUCCUUUGGAUGCAGUGGAGAUUGGACAGUUUCCCCCAGGGCUGAGUUUAAGCCUCUAUGCCUCCAUUCCCCCUCUUCAGGAUGCUGCAGAUAACAGCUCUGCAGGGAGCAGUUUGCUGUUAUGUAGUUUAAUUUGUAAGUGGAGAGCCAGGGCAGACCAGAAAGAACAUUUGACUAAGUGCAUCUGCUCUGUUGCCAACCCUAAGUGUUCAAAAAUCAUGAGGCAGCCCCCACAAACCAUGAACCAUAGUUUGAUUGUGGUCUGUCUUUUGCUUCACAUCUGUUUAGUGUUGCUAACCUUCCCAACUAUAUUGAAUAAGGUGGUUUGGGUCUUGCUUGGUAGCAGAUGAUGCAGAACUUCCAGCUUCUCUCCAUCCCCCCAAAUUGUAAUUGUGUGUUCUCUCCUUCCUCCAUGUUAAAGAGAGACUCUUCCUCUAACAGAAAUGCCAAGACCAAAGGCUCAAAGGGCAUAGUGUGUUUCAGGGCUGUCUUUUGAUUUCCAUUUUAAAGGAACAACCCUUAGUAAUACAUAAUAUUUACAUUUUCAUUCUUUCCCUUUAGAUUACUGCCCCUAGUGAUGCUCUGUUUACUCUUCUCUCCACUUUACAGUAAUAAAGCUCAAACUGUUUUUCUUUAAUUGAAAAUGUACAGGUUUUAGAGACAGUUGAGAAAUCUUUGUUUCAGAAACUGCAGUAAUUAGACAUUUAUAUAUCACUUUUUAGAGUGCGUAAAAGUCACUCAUCCCUAAAUUUAAGUCACGUCACUUUAAAAUACUUUCAUCAUGUGACUGCACUGGAUGGUAAGCAAAAAAUUAACUCAAAUUCAAGAGGAGACAAAGUCCACCAUGCCCACAUUACUUAUCAGCUCAUAAACAGAAGAGGAGGAACUAGAUUCAGAGGCUUGAAAUGACUCAGCAUUACUGUUUCAGCUGUGAAGCAUUUAUUGAAAAACACACAUUUAGUUGUUAACUGUGCAAUCUGAAGAGAGACAGGAGGAGAAUGUAAUUAGGAGCCCAGUUUAUUAAGAGAUGGGUGUCAGAAUUUUUCAAGUGUGUAUUCUACCACUUUGUGCUCAUAUCAUGUUCUCACCAGCAAGAUGAAAACACCACACAGUCAAGUCCUACAGAAACUGUCUCUGCAAGCUUCCCUCCCCUGAGGCCCUGCUCCUAAGGUACAUGCAUCUGUGGACAUCAAACGUAAGCCUAAGGACACAGAACUUGCACUGUAACAGUGACAGGUGUUAGAAGGGAAAGUAUUAAUAGCAACAUGUAUCUUUGCUGCAUUUGAGCAGUAACCACUGCAGAGUUAAAAUAGAACUACAGUAGCCACACGGUGAAUAGUAUUCACCCUCCCAGUGAUCACAUAUCCAAAUGUGGGCACUCUUACAUGGCUUAUGGCUCUUUAAAAAGGGGGGUGGGAAGAGGAGAGUGAAAGAGGUUUACAGUGGUAUCCCGGGAUGAAACCUAGACUCUGAGCACUUUACAAACCUAUACACAAUAUUCCUAGCCCCCUGGAAGGCAGGACAUCCAUGCAUUGUUUAACCAUGCAGAAACUGAGGGACAGAGGUGGUCAGGGGCCUGUCAAAGGUCAGAAAGACUCUGGCAAGGGGAGCCAGGACUCCUCUGCUCUAGCCACUUGGGGUGGGAGGGAAGUUACUUUUGAAAACUAUCCUCCUUAAAGCACAGUUCUCUGAAGAUUCUAGUGACACCAGCUCUGGCUCAGAGAUGCAGCUAUGGAAGUUGCUCCGAGGAGGACAGUACAAGCAGCCUGUGUUAAUAGGCUGCUUUUGGCCAUGUAUUUAGAAAAAGCCUUUUUAAUAAGGGGGCUGAAACGAACACUGAUUCAUGGCACAGGUGGCAAGGGAGCACUGACACCAUGGCUAGCCCUCCCCCCCCCAUCAGCUCACCUGAAGCCUGUCUUCCAACAUGGACACUGAAAACUCUGGGCAGCAGUUCUGUGACAUGGCAAAAUUCUGCAUAUUCUCUCCCCACCCCAGCAGUUACGGAGAGAUCUGGAAGACCAUUCUUUGCUCUGAAAGAGACCAAGUGGUCCUUUUUGUCCAGACUAUCAAACCACAAGCAGCAUGAAAACAAAGACCCAGAGAAGGGGUGGGGAAAAAAAAUAAAAAAAAUCAGGCUUAAUUCACCCCUCUGUGCCAUGCAAGGUCUCUCCAGGGAGGCAGGGUUUACAUGCUGUCGAGCCACUUUCAUAAAAUUAUGCUCUGUUCACUAGGAUUAACAGCCUGUUUAAAUGAGCACAGCAGUCUGGGAGUUCCCAUUGUGUCUGUUUCAGGCUGGCUGCCCACUCCGAUCAUCUAGAUGUGCCUGCCGUUCAAACCAGGGCAAGGAAAGGAAAAUUAAGUUGUGUUGGAAGACAUCCUGGAUCUGCCUAGAAACCAGACUUCAGUGCAGCUGAGCUACCAGGGCAAGCCUUGAUUUCUUUACUACUGGAAGACUAGGAGGUUGCAGGAGCUAAGGGGUUAAACCAGGCAACUCUCGUUUCUGCUCCUUUUGAAGCAGGCCCUGAAGGGUAGCCACUGUUCCAAAAUAGCUGGUAUCUUGGUGAUCUUGGGCACAACAGUAACCAGGACUCUUGAAUCUUUUGGCUGGAGGGGUCAGUUAGGCUAAUCCUGUUAGGUGAAAGUAGCAUUUACAACAUAAAGAAGCUAUCCUGAUGGUACAAUGGUAGGAGAGGUUAGAUCUAUGGUCUAACGUAAUAUCUACUCAAACUUGUAGAACAUGCAUUUAUGCACUAGACCAAGUUAGUUCUCUUUAGGAUCAUACUGGUCUAUCGGCCGAGUCCCUACCUCAGGCUCAGUGGUGUUACAGGCACGAUUCAUAGUAUACUUUGGAGGGGAGUUCGUGGGUACAUGCAAGCUGCUUUUUAAGCCUUUAAUACUCAGCUGUUCAUACUUGAAGGGACAGUCUGAAAAACAUGCUGUCUAGAAAUUAUUCAUCUCUAAGAUGCAAAAGAAAAGGGGUGGGUGGGUGGUGGGGGGGAACUAGUCUCUAAUGCAAGCUUGGACAGUCUUAUUUCUACAGCCAGAUGCAUCCAUAUACCAAGCAAGUUUGGCAGCAUAUUUAAUUAUUUAGACCAUUAAUUGUUGGUGCCAAAUUGAGUACUGCACUAUGACGAAUGAAUGUAACAGAUCUUAAAGUGACAGAAUCAGAAAGGUUAAUUUCAUAAGUUGCAAAAGGAUUCUUUAGACAGACAUUUGGUUACGUGCAUUCCACAGUUUUGCUUUAAUGGUAGAAGUCUCCUGAUCCAAUCCUGCAGUCCAUAUGCAGGUAGAUCUCCUAUAAAGCUAACUGAGUCUUCCCCCGGUAAGGACUGAGCCCUCAAAUGUGCCUUCCCCUCCCACCACCACAUACUGAACCUGUGUAAGGAUUCAUGCAAAACCUCACUGCAUCUGACAGUUUGAAAGCCAGGAAUAAAUAUUCUUUAACAUCUUAUAAAUAUGCCAUAGAACAUCUCAACAAGAGCAAAGUGCUUUUUUCCCCACCCCCCCCUUAAGACAGUUUAAAAAAAACCUAACUGUGAAUGUGUCUCCACCA